rnacentral:rRNA from 1 species
GAUGAACGCUGGCGGCGUGCCUAAUACAUGCAAGUCGAGCGAACGGACGAGAAGCUUGCUUCUCUGAUGUUAGCGGCGGACGGGUGAGUAACACGUGGAUAACCUGCCUAUAAGACUGGGAUAACUUCGGGAAACCGGAGCUAAUACCGGAUAAUAUUUUGAACCGCAUGGUUCAAAAGUGAAAGACGGUCUUGCUGUCACUUAUAGAUGGAUCCGCGCUGCAUUAGCUAGUUGGUAAGGUAACGGCUUACCAAGGCAACGAUGCAUAGCCGACCUGAGAGGGUGAUCGGCCACACUGGAACUGGGACACGGUCCAGACUCCUACGGGAGGCAGCAGUAGGGAAUCUUCCGCAAUGGGCGAAAGCCUGACAGAGCAACGCCGCGUGAGUGAUGAAGGUCUUCGGAUCGUAAAACUCUGUUAUUAGGGAAGAACAUAUGUGUAAGUAACUGUACACAUCUUGACGGUACCUAAUCAGAAAGCCACGGCUAACUACGUG